rnacentral:rRNA from 1 species
GGGUAAAAGCCUACCAAGGCCACGAUCAGUAGCCGACCUGAGAGGGUGACCGGCCACAUUGGGACUGAGACACGGCCCAAACUCCUACGGGAGGCAGCAGUGGGGAAUAUUGCACAAUGGGGGAAACCCUGAUGCAGCGACGCCGCGUGAAGGAAGAAGUAUUUCGGUAUGUAAACUUCUAUCAGCAGGGAAGAAACUGACGGUACCUGACUAAGAAGCACCGGCUAAAUAC